rnacentral:ncRNA from 2 species
AACGCAAAUGGGAAUGGAGCUUCCCAAAACCGCCGAUCCGUCGGCUGAUGGCUCCUGCUGAUCC